UACGAAGGGGGCUAGCGUUGCUCGGAAUCACUGGGCGUAAAGGGUGCGUAGGCGGGUCUUUAAGUCAGGGGUGAAAUCCUGGAGCUCAACUCCAGAACUGCCUUUGAUACUGGGAAGCUCGAGUCCGGGAGAGGUGAGUGGAACUGCGAGUGUAGAGGUGAAAUUCGUAGAUAUUCGCAAGAACACCAGUGGCGAAGGCGGCUCACUGGCCCGGUACUGACGCUGAGGUGCGAAAGCGUGGGGAGCAAACAGG
rnacentral:rRNA from 1 species